rnacentral:rRNA from 1 species
CUAUCAGCUUUUUGAUGUUAGGGUAUUGGCCUAACAUGGCUAUGACGGGUAACGGGGAAUUAGAGUUCGAUUCCGGAGAGGGAGCCUGAGAAAUAGCUACCACAUCUAAGGAAGGCAGCAGGCGCGUAAAUUACCCAAUUCUAAAGAAGAGAGGUAGUGACAAGAAAUAACAAUACAAGGCCAUUUCAUGGUUUUGUAAUUGGAAUGAUGGGAAUUUAAAACCUUCCCAAAAUUCAAUUGGAGGGCAAGUCUGGUGCCAGCAGCCGCGGUAAUUCCAGCUCCAAUAGCGUAUAUUAAAAUUGUUGCAGUUAAAACGCUCGUAGUUGAAUUUCAAAGAAUCAAUAUUUUAAGUAAUGCUUUUGGUUUAAGAUGCUUAGGACAAUACAACGUAUCUGCUCUUUGCAUUCCUUAUCCAAAAUGUGUUCUUAUUAAUAAAAAGGAUUCUUUUUAAAAUCUCCUUUACUUUCUUGUACUGGAGAUUUUGUUACUUUGAGUAAAUUAGAGUGUUCAAAGCAAACAGUUAAAGCAUUUUACUGCGUUUGAAUACUACAGCAUGGAAUAACAAAAUUGAACAAGUCAAAACUCUGUUCCUUUUUCUUAUUUUGGCUUAGUUACGAUUAAUAGGAGUAGCUUGGGGGCAUUUGUAUUCAGAUGUCAGAGGUGAAAUUCUUAGAUUUUCUGGAGACAAACAACUGCGAAAGCAUUUGCCUAAAAUACUUCCAUUAAUCAAGAACGAAAGUUAAGGA